GAUUAAGUUAUUAAGGGCGCACGGUGGAUGCCUUGGCACUAGAAGCCGAUGAAGGACGUUACUAACGACGAUAUGCUUUGGGGAGCUGUAAGUAAGCUUUGAUCCAGAGAUUUCCGAAUGGGGAAACCCAGCAUGAGUUAUGUCAUGUUAUCGAUAUGUGAAUACAUAGCAUAUCAGAAGGCACACCCGGAGAACUGAAACAUCUUAGUACCCGGAGGAAGAGAAAGAAAAUUCGAUUCCCUUAGUAGCGGCGAGCGAAACGGGAAGAGCCCAAACCAACAAGCUUGCUUGUUGGGGUUGUAGGACACUCUAUACGGAGUUACAAAGGACGACAUUAGACGAAUCAUCUGGAAAGAUGAAUCAAAGAAGGUAAUAAUCCUGUAGUCGAAAAUGUUGUCUCUCUUGAGUGGAUCCUGAGUACGACGGAGCACGUGAAAUUCCGUCGGAAUCUGGGAGGACCAUCUCCUAAGGCUAAAUACUCUCUAGUGACCGAUAGUGAACCAGUACCGUGAGGGAAAGGUGAAAAGCACCCCGGAAGGGGAGUGAAAUAGAACCUGAAACCGUGUGCUUACAAGUAGUCAGAGCCCGUUAAUGGGUGAUGGCGUGCCUUUUGUAGAAUGAACCGGCGAGUUACGAUUUGAUGCAAGGUUAAGCAGUAAAUGUGGAGCCGUAGCGAAAGCGAGUCUGAAUAGGGCGUUUAGUAUUUGGUCGUAGACCCGAAACCAGGUGAUCUACCCUUGGUCAGGUUGAAGUUCAGGUAACACUGAAUGGAGGACCGAACCGACUUACGUUG
rnacentral:rRNA from 1 species